rnacentral:tRNA from 2 species
GUUAAUGUAGCUUAUAUCAAAGCAUAGCACUGAAAAUGCUAAGAUAGAUUUUAAACAUCUCAUGAACA